CUUGACAGAGACGGAGAUGUCUAAUAGUGUAAAGUAAAGGAAAAAACUGUGAAGGUAUUACGAGGUACUGAUAUUUGAAUUAAAAAUUGUGAAACGGUUUUAUUGAAAUUGGCCCUGAUAUAGGAGCUACUCCUCUGCAGGGCUGUGAAAUUUGUCUGGGGUUGUGUUUGAUGUCCUGGCUGGAAAGAGAACGAGAACUCUAUUCUGUUGAGGCAGAAUGGGCUCCUGUCCAAGUGGAAAGUGGAGUAGCCAGUGAAUUUUGGAGGGGUGUCUGUGAUGACGAUUUCUGACUAAACCUUGGCAAUUAACG